rnacentral:sRNA from 1 species
AUUUUUUUCAGAUUGCGUCUUUUGUCAUAAAUUUUUUAAUGCUCGUUUCUUUUCCAUCAUCUCAUCUUACAUAUACAUUUUUGCAGCCACUUUAGCAAAUAAAUCCUCUACUUGACACUUAUUUAUAAUGGCAUGCCAUUAACAUUUAUUGUU